GCUACUGUGCCAGCUGGUGAAUGGCUCGGCUCGAGAGCCGAAGACGGACGUGCCAAGCUGCGAUAAGCCUCAGGGACCUGCAUGGAAGGUAAGAACUGAGGAUCUCCGAAUGGGAAUCCCCUCGCAAUUGCCUCGCGCAAUGGGGAACGCUCCGAAUUGAAACAUCUCAGUAGGAGCAGGAAGAGAACGCAAAUCGCGAUCCCGUUAGUAACCGCGAGUGAACGCGGGCCAGCCCAAACCGAAUCCGCAAGGACAUGUGGUGCCGGGCUGACCAUCAGCGUCCGACCCGUCCCGAGAAGUCUCCUGAAACGGAGCGCGAUACAGGGUGACAGCCCCGUAUCGGAACGCAGUACGACGUGAGUCAGUUCCAGACUAGCGGGGAUUGGAUAUUCCUCGUGAACGUCCCGGGCAUCAACCGGGAAGGCUAAACACUCCUCGAGACCGAUAGCGAACAAGUAGCGUGAGCGAACGCUGAAAAGUAUCCCGAGAAGGGAACUGAAAUAGAGCCUGAACUCAGUUGGCGAUCGAGCGACGGGGCAUACAAGGUCCCUCGACGAAUGACCGUGGGGCGACCCACCAGUAAGACUCGAGGGAAGCCGAUGUUCCGUCGUGCGUUUUGAAAAACGAACCAGGGAGUGCACUUGCUUGGCGAGUCUAACCCGACCAUCGGGGAAGGCACAGGGAAACCGAUACGGCCGCAGUCUUCAUUCGAAGACCAGGGCCACCGUGUUCAAGCGCGGGGAGUCAAGCGGGUGCGACCCGAAACCAGGUGAUCUACGCGUGGGCAGGGUGAAGCGUGCCGAAAGGCACGUGGAGGCCCGUUAGGGGUGGUGUCCUACAAUACCCUCCCGUGACCUAUGCGUAGGGGUGAAAGGCCCAUCGAACCUGGCAACAGCUGGUUCCAGCCGAAACAUGUCGAAGCAUGACCUCUGCUGAGGUAGUCCGCGAGGUAGAGCGACCGAUUGGAAGACCCGCCUCCGAGAGGAGUCGGCCUUCCUGUCGAACUCCGAACUUGCGGACGCCACAGAUGCAGGGAGUCCGGUGUGCGGGGUAAGCCUGUGCACCGUAAGGGAGACAACCCAGCGGUAGGUUAAGGUCCCCAAGUGUGGAUUAAGUGCGAUCGAAGGUGGUCCCGAGCCCUAGACAGCCGGGAGGUGAGCUUAGAAGCAGCUACCCUCUAAGAAAAGCGUAACAGCUUACCGGCCGAGGUUCGGGGCGCCCAAAAUGAUCGGGGCUCAAAUCCACCACCGAGACCUACCCGUGUCCGUCACAGGACAAUCGCGUAGGCUGGCAUUCUGCUCGGACGGAAGCGCGGGCGAGAGUUCGUGUGGACCGAGUAGUAACGAAAAUCCUGGUCAUAGUAGCAGCGAGAGUCGGGUGUGACACCCGACGGCCUUACGAGCAAGGGUUCCUUGGCACUGCUAAUCAGCCAAGGGUUAGUCGAUCCUAAGUCUCGCCGUAACUCGACCGAGACAACAGGGAAGCUGGUUAAUAUUCCAGCACCAUUACACAGUGAAAGUCGACGCUUUGGGGACAACCGAACCGGGCUUUCGCCCGGUCGAAUCGGAUACCGCCGUGGAAGCCGUAACGGCAGGAAGCGGCCAAACUCCGAGACAGCGCAAGUCGGUCGUACCUAGAGCCCGUGAAAAGACGAGUGUAAUGAUCGUACCGAGAUCCGACACAGGUGCUCUGCCGGCGAAAGGCAAGGCCCGUCGGGAGCAACCGGCGUUAGGGAAUUCGGCAAGUUAGUCCCGUACGUUCGCAAUAAGGGAUGCCUGCUCCGGAGAGGAGCAGGUCGCAGUGACUCGGGCGCUCCGACUGUCUAGUAACAACAUAGGUGACCGCAAAUCCGCAAGGACUCGUACGGUCACUGAAUCCUGCCCAGUGCAGGUAUCUGAACACCUCGUACAAGAGGACGAAGGACCUGUCAACGGCGGGGGUAACUAUGACCCUCUUAAGGUAGCGUAGUACCUUGCCGCUUCAGUAGCGGCUUGCAUGAAUGGAUCAACGAGAGCGCCACUGUCCCAACGCUGGGCCCGGUGAACUGUACGUUCCAGUGCGGAGUCUGGAGACCCCCAAGGGGAAGCGAAGACCCUAUAGAGCUUUACUGCAGGCUGUCGCUGAGACGUGGUCGCUACUGUGCAGCAUAGGUAGGAGGCGUUACACAGGUACCCGCGCUAGCGGGCCACCGAGCCACCAUUGAAAUACUACCCGGUAGUGACUGCGACUCUCACUCCUGGCGGAGAACACCGGUAGCCGGGCAGUUUGACUGGGGCGGUACGCGCUCGAAAAGAUAUCGAGCGCGCCCGAUGGUUUCCUCAUCCGGGUCGGAGACCCGGAAGAGAGCGCAAGAGCACAAGGAAGCCUGACAGUGAUCUUCCCAACGAGGAUCGCUGACGCGAAAGCGUGGUCUAGCGAACUUACGAGCCUGCUUGUUGCGGGCCGUAAAUGACAGAAAAGCUACCUUAGGGAUAACAGAGUCGUCACUCGCAAGAGCACAUAUCGACCGAGUGGCUUGCUACCUCGAUGUCGGUUCCCUCCAUCCUGCCCGUGCAGAAGCGGGCAAGGGUGAGGUUGUUCGCCUAUUAAAGGAGGUCGUGAGCUGGGUUUAGACCGUCGUGAGACAGGUCGGCUGCUAUCUAUUGGGGGUGUGAGGUACUUGACGGGAACAAGCGUAUAGUACGAGAGGAACUCCGCUUGGGUGCCACUGGUGUACCGGUUGUCUGAGAAGGCAGUUGCCGGGCAGCCACGCACCACGGGGUAAGAGCUGAACGCAUCUAAGCUCGAAACCCACCUGGAAAAGAAGUACCACCGAGGACACUCGUAGAAGACGAGUUCGAUAGACUCGGGGUGUACGCGCCGAGGCAACG
rnacentral:rRNA from 1 species